AUCUAUUUGACAAGUCCCAAAUAAGACGAAACGUGCGUCAAUUUGGAU
rnacentral:hammerhead_ribozyme from 1 species